AUGCCAUCGGGCUGCCCCCAGAACUGGUACGGCUCCAGACCGAGCGCGGACACGGCCAGCUCGUCGUGCGAGCCAAUGCCCGCGUGCUCCCCCAGCCACGCUGGCUCGUACCACGGCUCGGCGACGGGGUCUUCGCAGAACGUGCCCCCGAACGCGACCUCUACGGCGGCCGCGAUGUCCUCGUCGAUGGAUGGCAGCUCGAUGAUUUCCUCAAGCUCGUCGUCGACCUGGCUCGACAUCUGUCCGCGGCGCCACAGUGGGGACGUCGCAGCCGCCGGCAUUGGCUCCGUGCUCACGCCCGCGCUCACAGGGGCAGGGUCCAUGGCCGCGGCGCGGGCUGCCGCGGCCUGCACGUCGUGGGGCGCAGCGGAGGCCGGGCGUGGCAGCGACGAGGCCAGCUCCGGGAAGUUGAGCACGGCUGCAGGGCCCUUCACGACGAGCGCGGCCGCGUCGUGCGCGCGCGCCGCCAUCUCUGGCGUCGGGAAGGUGCCCAGCCAGAUGCGCGACUUCUUGCGCGGCUCCCUGAUCUCGGACACCCACUUCCCCCAUGCCCUCAUCCGAACGCCGCGGUACGCCGGGUGCCGGUCGCCCGCGCCAUUGCCUCCGGCAUCCCUCCCUCUCUUCUCCAGAACUCCGCCUCUCGCCGUGGUUGGCGAUGGCGGCGGCGAGGCGGACGACGACGCCGGGCUGUUCAGCUCAGAGUCAGGCAUUUCCAAUGCAAGUGCGCGCUCCCGACGAAGGCUGUUUGAAGCUAGCGGGGAAGCUCAGGGCGGGUUUUGUAGCGGCUGUUGGGAGCGCCAUGAUGCUGACAUCUCACCAGCGGACGUCCUUGUCGCGGCCGUCCAGUCAGCAACGCUCCCCCCUCUCUCUAUGUCUCCAGAUCUCUCUGUUCAUUUUUCUAGAUUGAUCUACCUCUCGAGUCUCGACCUUUGUCUGAGUUGUGCCCUCUUAACGGAUAAAUUUUUGAAGAGACCGUUGCAAAGCAGGAUAAAAUUGCUUACGAACAUCAAGCUAGUGAUGUGUACGUGCUGUGCAAUUUAA
rnacentral:rRNA from 1 species